GCCGGGCGUGGUGGCUCAUGCCUGUAAUCCCAGCACUUUGGGAGGCUGAGGCGGGUGGAUCACCUGAGGUCGGGAGUUCGAGACCAGCCUGACCAACAUGGAGAAACCCCGUCUCUA
rnacentral:SRP_RNA from 2 species